CACACGUGUGCUCUUUCGAUCGGUCCUUCUCAGGGCGAACCUCUGACCACACAGAGCUCGUCGUAGGCUUUUAGUUCUUUUCAGAACUAAGUCUCUGACCACACAGAGAAUACUCGACCAAGUUCCAGUUUCGAGGCAAGCGACCACCAUUAAUACAAGAUGUUACAGAUACCUAACAUACUGUUAGUGU